rnacentral:lncRNA from 1 species
ACAUUUCUCUCUUGUCGUAGCCUUGUGAAGUCAUCCUUGAAUGUCAAGUUAAUCAUUUGUUUCUCUUGGCUCCCACAGACCAACUGAACAGCCCUCUCCAGGUUUUCACAUCUGCCUUCCCACUAGCUGGUGGGCUCUAUGGGAGAAGCCAUCGUGUUUUUCCAGAAAUGGAGACUUUAGGACCUGAGGGUGCUCAGUGAAUGGAUAAAAAGAAGUUGGUUCUAGCUUUACGGCUCCCCAGGCAGAUUCAUGCACCCCCAUUGUCUGA